AGUCUUAUCGGUGGAUCACUCGGCUCGUGGAUCGAUGAAGAACGCAGCCAACUGCGAUAAUUAGUGUGAACUGCAGAAACCUUGAACACAGAACUUUCGAAUGCACAUUGCGCCAUUGGAGUGACAUCCAUUGGCACGCCUGGUUCAGGGUC
rnacentral:rRNA from 1 species